rnacentral:rRNA from 1 species
GACGAACGCUGGCGGCGUGCUUAACACAUGCAAGUCGAACGGAAAGGCCCUGCUUUUGUGGGGUGCUCGAGUGGCGAACGGGUGAGUAACACGUGAGUAACCUGCCCUUGACUUUGGGAUAACUUCAGGAAACUGGGGCUAAUACCGGAUAGGAGCUCCUGCUGCAUGGUGGGGGUUGGAAAGUUUCGGCGGUUGGGGAUGGACUCGCGGCUUAUCAGCUUGUUGGUGGGGUAGUGGCUUACCAAGGCUUUGACGGGUAGCCGGCCUGAGAGGGUGACCGGCCACAUUGGGACUGAGAUACGGCCCAGAGUCCUACGGGAGGCAGCAGUGGGGAAUAUUGCACAAUGGGCGGAAGCCGGAUGCAGCAACGCCGCGUGCGGGAUGACGGCCUUCGGGUUGUAAACCGCUUUCGCCUGUGACGAAGCGUGAGUGACGGUAAUGGGUAAAGAGGCACCGGCUAACUACGUG